CAGUGAUGUUACAUUAACAAUCUUUGGCAUCAUGAAUGAAUCUUCGCUUUCUGCAAAAUCAAACAAAGCAGCAUCCAUUAGGAUCCAUGCUAACUGCAAGAACAAGACCAAGCUUCACAUCUAUUAUCCCAGAACCACUUACCCAGUCCCUUCCCUCAGCAGGCUGUCACAAAUGUCUGCUCCAAACCCCAGUGAAUCAGUGGAAAGACUCCUCAGGUCCAGUGACACUACUUCUGAGCCUGCUGGCCGUAGGAGGAAUCUGAAGACUGUCUCCUGAAACCUGGCUCUUGACAUCCGUUUUUGCCCUCGCAGGCAGACUGAGCACAGUAAGGCUGCAACUGCAUCUGCUCUUGGGUUGGGCAUUAGGUUCCUUUCAAGGAAGGGCCUCAUGCCGUAACUUCAAGGGCAGAGAGAAGAAUGCAUGGAGAAGGCGAAGCAGGCAGAGCAUCCUGGAACCCAUCUCCAUCUCAAGCAAAAGCACGCAUACCAGUCUGCUCUAAUGUAUGAGAUAUUCACCAGGCUCACACCCCACCUCAAAGCCCCACCCCACCCCAGCAGGCAGCUCUACAUCUGACAUCAAAGUACACCACAGGUAGUUAUCAUGGACGGUUAGUGAAACUGGCUUCAAAGCAACCCUAAAAUACAGCACAAGCUCCAGAAGGAUUGCAAUGAGUUUUGGUUUGAAAGGAUUCUGCAUUAUCUUUAACUUGCCUAAAUACGUAUUCUUUAAACUAUUGUUUUCAGAAAUCCUUCGCCCAGUGCUGUGCUAUAUAAUCCUACACGCCGUCUUCUUUGACACAUGAAAACAUUUCUCAGUUGUUAAUUAUGUGUGCUGUAAAAAUUAUUUAUGCCAAGAACACAAAACCUAGGCAAACGUACUAAUAAAUAAGAGGCAGAUAUUCCUCCCGUACAUAAAGCUGAAUCUGAAACCCGCCAAUGCCAGUAGCAGUCCUUUUUCUUUAAUGAGAUUUUGACUAAGCCCCUUCCCCCCACAUACACAUUUGGUUUCUUGCAUUUAAUCAUAAAUAUAUGGAAGGUAGAUAAAUCGCGUUAAGAGUUGCACUUGAGAUGAAAGUUUAUCUUUAAAAUGGAGGUAUGAUACCAAAAGGAAAGAGGAGAGCAAACAUAUACCUUCGUAGGUUUUUCUGAUAAUUUUUCAUCCGAAGAAUUACGAGCAUGGUAUCUGGAAGAAAGGUAAAAAGUUUUUCCCAACACUACUCAUCUCAUGCACUCUAUCCUCAUUAACUACAUUCCAACAGCCUACAAUUGCUCAUUUUUAUCCCUUGAAAUUAACUCUUCCUUCUAUAACUACAUGAAAGCAGGACACUGUUGAGCUUUCUCAAGAAAGUGAACUCUAUCUCCAAUGCCAUCAUCCUGGAAAAAAUUGAGCUGUUCUGAAUGCUGUAAAAUUAACCCAUAGUGCAAAAGACAAACUAUUUCACUAUAUGCCAAAGAGAAUAAAUUCAGCCUCUGACUGUUAGCUACAGAAAGUAUUUUUUUUCUAUCACGUUUUGGUUCUUUUUUAAAAAAACACAGAUUCAAUACAGAGCAAUCCCUCCCCCACCAGGAACAACCAACCAAAAUCCUCACAUUUAUUACUAUCCUAAUAUAUAAUAACAGCUUCCUCGUAUCUCAGGAGCAUCAAGAAAACAAAGAACAAUACACAUUUGAAA